rnacentral:rRNA from 1 species
CCAACUCCCGGGCGCGGGCCGGGUUAGAUACGGAGGUUGCAAUCGUGAAUCGGAAGUACUGGGCGUAAAGCGUGCGCAUGCGUCUUAUUAAGUGUGAUGUGAAAUCCCUAGGCUCAACCUAUGCACUGCAUUUGAAAUUAAUAAACUAGAGGUUAGUAGAGGGAGGUAGAAUUCCAGGUGGAGCGGUGAAAUGCGUAGAUAUCUGGAGGAAUACCAGUGGCGAAGGCGACCUCCUGGACGAAAACUGACGCUCAAGCACGAAAGCAUGGGGAGCAAACAGGAUUAGAUACCCUAGUAGUC